GCCCUCUUGGCUUAGUGGUAAAGCGUAUCACUAGUACCCAACUCCCCCUCACAGUGGGAGACCUGGAUUGCAAAUGAUAAGAUCGCUAGUUCGAUUCUGGCAGAGGGCA